AUUGAACGCUGGCGGCAGGCCUAACACAUGCAAGUCGAGCGGCAGCGGGAAAGUAGCUUGCUACUUUUGCCGGCGAGCGGCGGACGGGUGAGUAAUGCCUGGGAAAUUGCCCAGUCGAGGGGGAUAACAGUUGGAAACGACUGCUAAUACCGCAUACGCCCUACGGGGGAAAGCAGGGGACCUUCGGGCCUUGCGCGAUUGGAUAUGCCCAGGUGGGAUUAGCUAGUUGGUGAGGUAAUGGCUCACCAAGGCGACGAUCCCUAGCUGGUCUGAGAGGAUGAUCAGCCACACUGGAACUGAGACACGGUCCAGACUCCUACGGGAGGCAGCAGUGGGGAAUAUUGCACAAUGGGGGAAACCCUGAUGCAGCCAUGCCGCGUGUGUGAAGAAGGCCUUCGGGUUGUAAAGCACUUUCAGCGAGGAGGAAAGGUUGAUGCCUAAUACGUAUCAACUGUGACGUUACUCGCAGAAGAAGCACCGGCUAACUCCGUGCCAGCCGCCGCGGUAA
rnacentral:rRNA from 1 species